GAUGUAUUCACACAUCUAAACUUUACAAUCCCCAGAUUUCAAAAUGUCUUGUUGGGUUUUAAAGCUGCAAUAGUAAAUUUAGAAAAUAAAUGGCUUAAAAUAUUUAUUGUUCAUGCCUCUUAAUGUUCUAACAUACACUGCCUGGCCAAAACCAAAAGUCGCUACCAAAUUUGAUUAAAGCUCACAUUUGCUGUGGCAUUGUUUUGAUAAGCUUCUGCAAUGUCACAAGAUUUAUUUUCAUCCAGUCUUGCAUUGUUUCUCCAAGAUCUUGCAUUGAUGAUGGUAGUCUGACUGCUGCGCAGUCUUCUCCAGCACAUCCAAUAGUUUCCCAGUGGGGUUAAGUCCUAGUCUCUGUGAUGGCUGAUCCAUGUGUGAAUGGAUUUUAAUGUUCUCUUUGUUUCAUGUCCUCAAGGUUACAAGUCUCACCGAUGCCGCGAAAGCCGAUGAACCACUGGCGUCAAAACAAGACAUCCAGGUUUUAAGUCACACCGACGUAGCCGAAGCUGUGACAGUAGCAUCUCCCUUGUCAACACAAGACAUCCAGAGCUGCAAACAUGUUCUGUGCCCAUCCUCAUUGACCAG